rnacentral:rRNA from 1 species
CGGACGGGUGAGUAAUGUCUGGGAAACUGCCUGAUGGAGGGGGAUAACUACUGGAAACGGUAGCUAAUACCGCAUAACGUCGCAAGACCAAAGAGGGGGACCUUCGGGCCUCUUGCCAUCGGAUGUGCCCAGAUGGGAUUAGCUAGUAGGUGGGGUAAAGGCUCACCUAGGCGACGAUCCCUAGCUGGUCUGAGAGGAUGACCAGCCACACUGGGACUGAGACACGGUCCAG